AUAGCCAUUCUGGCAGGGGUAAGGUGGUGUCUAAUUGUGUUUUUCAACUGCAUUUCCCUGAUGAUUAAUGGUGUUGAAGAUCUUUUCAUGUGUCUGUUAGCCAUCUGUAUAUUUUCAUUAGAAAAAUGUCUAUUCAUAUCCUUUGCCCAUUUUUAAUCAGGUUGUUUGUUUUAUUGAUGUUGAGUUGUAUAUGUCCUUUGUAUAUUUUGCAUUUUUUUCCCGUUGAAUAUAUUGUUUGCAAGUAUUUUCUCCCAUUCAGCCGAUGGCCUUUUCAUUUUGUUGAUAGUUUCCUUCACUGUGCAAAAGCUUUUUAGGUUGAUGUAGUCCCAUUUGUUUAUUUUUGCUUUUAUUUCCCUUGCCUGAGGAGACGGAUCCAAAAAAAAUAUUGCUGUGUCAAAGAGCAUACUGCUUAUGUUUUCUUCUAGGAGUUUUAUUGUUUCAGGUCUUACAUUUAAGUCUAUAAUCCAUUUUAAGUUUAUUUUUGUAUAUAGUGUGAGGAAAUAGUUGUUUCAUUCUUUUACAUAUAGCUGUGUAGUUCUCCCAACCAUUUAUUGAAGAGACUGUGUUUUCCCCAUUGUAAUAUUCUUGCGUUUUUUUUGUCAUAGAUUAGUUGAUCAUGUAAGUGUGGCCUCUUAAACUAUCCUCUUUUUUUUUUUUUUUUUUUUUGCGGUACGUGGACCUCUCACUGUUGUGGCCUCUCCCAUUUUGGGGCACAGGCUCCGGACGCGCAUGCCCAGCAGCAUGUGGGAUCUUCCCGGACCGGGGCACGAACCCGUGUCCCCUGCAUCGGCAGGCGGACUCUCAACCACUGUGCCACCAGGGAAGCCCUAUCCUCAUUUUUUUAAAUUCUUUUUUCUGUUUAGCUUGGGUGAUUUCCACUGCUCUGGGUUCCAGUUCACAGAUCCAUUCCUCUGUAUCAUCUAAUCUACUGUUGAUUCUUUCUAAUGUAUUUUUUAUUUCAGUUAUUGUAUACUUCAGCUCUGUUUGGUUCUUCUUUAUAUUUUCUAAGCCUUUGUUAAAAUUCUCACUGUGUUGAUGUGUCCUUCUCCUGAGUUUGCUGAGCAUCUUUAUGAUCAUUACUUUGAACUCUUUUAUUGGGUAGAUUCCUUAUCUCCACUUCAGUUCUUUUUCUGAGGUUUUGGCUCGUUCUUUUGUUUGGAAUAUAUUCCUCCGUCUCCUCAUUUUACCUAAUUCUCUGUGUUUAUUUCUACAUAGGUAGAUCAGCUAUAGUUUUGGAUAUUAGAGAAGUGAUCUGAUGCAGGAGAUGUCCUAGGGGGCCCAGCAGCACACUCUCCUCUGAUCACCAGGCUGUAUGCUCUAGGGGUGCCCCCUGUGUGGGCUGUGUGGGCCCUUCUGUUUUGGUGGAGCUGACUACUGUGGACACACUGGUAAGUGGCUGGCCCCUGGCCCAGUUGGCUGCCAGGCCCUGCCUUGUGUGGUGGCUGCUGGCCCGCUGAUAGGUGGGGCCUGGUCCCAGGGCAGCUGGUUGUGGGGCGGGGAGUGGCAGUUCAAAUUCUUGAGGGGCUGCUGGCUCCUACAAGUAUUUCAUAGUUCUUGAUGCUUUGUUUAUUGAGCAAUUGAGCAUUACAUGACUGGUGCAUUAUUCUUCUAGUGGAAUCAGAACUUAAACGCACCUAAACAUUGAUGCAAUGAGCUCCUGGGUUCUUGACCAGCUUGUGACAUGUGGGCAGUGUUGGUGCUUGCACCUACCUCUAUUUACUGCAUUUCUGUGCAUUCCUGGAUAUCAGGAGCACCUUGACCUCUGCAGAGAAGGGCUUGGCAGAUGGAGAGGGUUGAGUCGUGGCCAUGUUCCUACUCUAACUCCAGCAGCCAGCAAAUCUCAGCUACCUCUCACUGACAAUGCACUGUGAUCCCCUGCAGAAGCUCAUGGCCACCAUAGCUGCAACCCUGUCUUCCCUCAUCCUUUCCCCAGUUGACCACAUGUGUCUUGAGCUGCUAAAGUCCAGAGCCUGGGCAGGACCUGUGCACGGUUGGCUGGCAGCGCAGUGCUGGCAGCAGCUCAGUCAUCCCUAGCUCUGCUUUGCCAACCCAGCUUCUUGUUUCUCCAGUAAUUUGGAACGUACAAGUUAAUAACUUCUGAAUAUUAAACAGGAUAUAACUGCAAGAGAUUUUCAGGGCAAGGUGAUAGUACGGAACUAGCUAGGACAAGUUUUUCACAUUAAAUAUAACAAUGUAACAAAAUGAACGAAAAGUAAAAUUAUACGUAUAUAUGUAUACCAACUGGCCAAAUGGGUGGGUCAACACUACAUCCUAUAUUGUGAGGUAUGUAUGACUCCUUAAGUUUCAUACUAUGGAUUGCUGUCAUCAUUUCUUAAAUUUGAAUUUAUUCAAUCCUUCAACUCUCUCUUGCUCUCUGUUCUUUUUUUCCUGGCUAAUGUUAUAACUUUUCCCAUAUAUUACUUAGUAAUUGUUCUUAGCCUUAAGUUUUGGGAGAAAGAUUCUCUGAUACCAUUUCUUUCAUUCAUUUUUAUUGGAUGUCUCUUCUUUGUUAUAAUUAGCCAUUUGGGGAUCCACAAAUGUUUGUGAUUCUCAUUAAGCCAACGCUCUUAACCUUAGAACAAUUCUAAAACUAGUCAGGAACUACUGCAAGCAAUAAUAUUUAAAAGCCAAAAGGAAUUCUUGACCUUGGUUUGCUACCUCAACCAGAAGUAUUAAAUAAGUUUUAAAGUAGCUGUAGUAAAACAAGUGUAGCAAUGAGUAAAGUUCAGUAAUCAUAUUAAUAAAACAAAGAAAAUCUCAAAAAUAGUUGUAUUAUCAGAAUUAAUUAGAUUUAUGCUAAAGAUGUACCUAUUGUUAAUAAGGAAAGAAAUAAUAUUUCAAUAAAAUGUUCUAGAAAAAUUGCCUUGCACUCUAACAGAAAGCAAUUUAGAUUCUCGUAUCAUAGAUC
rnacentral:lncRNA from 1 species